GGCGCGGCGGACGCGGUGGUCUNAAAAUCGGAAGGGCUUCCCGGGACCGGGGCCGUUCGACCGCGCGUCUUCCGUCGCUCCCGACGCAUUUGUCUCUCGUCCGAAGGACGCUGCAGCCGGUCGGGAACGGCAAGCGUGACGGCCUGAAGGGCGGAAGAUGGCAGGUGGCCGGUGGCGUGCCUCGUGCGCGUCGCCGGUUGUUAGCCGUUCCGUCGGUGGCUCGUCUCCCGACCGUGGUGUCACUAGGCCAGUACGGCCUUAACGUCUCCUCCCCAGGACGCGGGACGGACCGUCGCAGGCGAAGUCCGCUGUUCCGUCGCACACCUUCGGUGUGGGCGGUCGAACGGACGGCGUCGUUGGCGGCGGCGGGCCCGUGGGAGGUCGGAGGCUCGCAGCGAGUAGGUCGGUCACCCACCCGACCCGUCUUGAAACACGGACCAAGGAGUCUAACAUGUGCGCGAGUCAAUGGGUCUUGAAUAGGCCCAGGGGCGCAAUGAAAGCAAAGGCCGGCACGCGUCGGCCGAGUUGGGAUCGACUCGGUUUCCGAGUCGCGCACCAACGACCCGUCCUAUCCGGCUCGCCGGUCGGGCGGAGUGUGAGCGUACACGUUGGGACCCGAAAGAUGGUGAACUAUGCCCGGACAGGACGAGGCCAGAGGAAAC
rnacentral:rRNA from 1 species